rnacentral:lncRNA from 1 species
AAUUUUAGUAUUUUGAUAUGUUAUACAACUAUGGUAAAAUUUUAGUAUUUUGAUUAAAUGAUAUAAAUAUGUUAUGAUGUAAAUAUGAUGUAAAUGAUGUAAAUAUAUAAAUAUGAUAAUAUGUUAUGUUAUGAUGUAAAUGAUGUAAAUAUGUUAUAAUUUUAGUAUUUUAAUGAUGUAAUUUGAAUUUUUGUUCUUUUGAUUAAUUAACAAAAUAAUUUAAAUUUUAGGAUUUUUUUUAAUUUGAUUUUUUUUAGUAUUUUAGUAUUUUUUUAAUUAGUAUUUUUAACAUUUGAUGUAAAUAUGUAAUUAGUAUUUUAGUGUCGGGUAAGUGACUUUUAGUAUUUUUGAUAUGUUAUACAAUUAUGGUAAAAAUUUAGUAUUUUGAUAUGUUAUACAACUAUGGUAAAAUUUUAAUAUUUUGAUUAAAUGAUAUAAAUAUGUUAUGAUAUAAAUAUGAUGUAAAUGAUGUAAAUAUGAUAAUAUGUUAUGUUAUGAUGUAAAUGAUGUAAAUAUGUUAUGAUUUUAGUAUUUUAAUGAUGUAAUUUGAAUUUUUAUUCUUUUGAUUAAUUAACAAAAUAAUUUGAAUUUUAGUAUUUUUUUGGAUUUAAGUAUUUUUUUAAUUUGAUUUUUUUAAUUAGUAUUUUUAGUAUUUGAUGUAGAUAUGUAAUUAGUAUUUUAGUGUCGGGUAAGUGACUUUUAGUAUUUUGAUAUGUUAUACAAUUAUGAUAAAAUUUUAGUAUUUUGAUAUGUUAUACAACUAUAGUAAAAUUUUAGUAUUUAAGUAAAAUUUUAGUAUUUUAGUACUUGAAUUUUAGUAUUUUGAUUAAAUGAUGUAAAUAUGUUAUGAUAUAAAUAUGAUGUAAAUAUGUAAAUAUGAUAAUAUGUUAUAUUAUGAUGUAAAUGAUGUAAAUAUGUUAUAAUUUUAGUAUUUUAAUGAUGUAAUUUGAAUUUUUGUUCUUUUGAUUAACAAAAUAAUUUAAAUUUUAGUAUUUUUUUAAUUUGAUUUUUUUAAUUAGUAUUUUUAGUAUUUGAUGUAAAUAUGUAAUUAGUAUUUUAGUGUCGGGUAAGUGACUUUUAGUAUUUUGAUAUGUU